UCCCUGGUGGCCCAGUGGUUAAGACUUCUCACUCCCAAUGCAGGAGACCUGGGUUCAAUCCCUAGUCAGGGAA
rnacentral:tRNA from 1 species